rnacentral:rRNA from 1 species
UCUAACACAGUCUGCGACUGACGGUACCUGAAGAAUAAGCACCGGCUAACUACGUGCCAGCAGCCGCGGUAAUACGUAGGGUGCGAGCGUUAAUCGUAAUUACUGGGCGUAAAGCGUGCGCAAGCGGUUAUACAAGACAGGCGUGAAAUCCCCGGGCUUAACCUGGGAAUGGCGUCUGUGACUGUAUAGCUAUAGUGUGUCAGAGGGGGGUGGAAUUCCUCGUGUAACAAUGAAAUGCGUAGAUAUGUGGAGGAACACCAAUGGCGAACGCAGCCCCCUGGGAUAACACUGACGCUCAUGCACUAAAGCGUGGGGAGCAAACAGGAUUAAUACCCUGGUAGUCCACGCCCUAAACGAUGCUGACUAGUUGUUGGGAAUUUACAUUCUCAGUAACGUAGCUAACGCGUGAAGUCACCCGCCUGGGGAGUACGGUCGCAAGAUUAAAACUCAAAGGAAUUGACGGA